UGGGGAUUUCGGCAGAAGACCACACAUUACGGCCUCGGCGGUUUUUCUGUACUUUUUGAGGCUUGCAUCUGUAGCAGCUUUUGAAUCGAAGAAGCUUACCCUUGACAAAAGAACCUGCACAGUUUAUUAGCCGAUUGGGUUACAGGCCAAAAACAGAGCAAUCUUCAAAGCAUCACCAUACUUCUGCGCAACGGGUCCCGGAGGCCCGGGAACCGGAGAAUCACCGUCGUCAUCGUGAUGGAACUUGUUCCUCAAUGUAAACCCUAAGGCUAAGGCGAUUGCUCCUACUACAAUUAAGACGAUAAACCAGCCCAUACAUCCUCCAGAUUUCUUCUCCUCUCCCAUUUUGCCCUAAAUUCUCUCAGAUCUGACGAAAAGUCAACAAUGUAAUACGAUCAGUAGGGUUUUAGGUUAAUUUGAAAGGAGUAGGGUUUAGAUUUGACGAACCUGAAGUGAAUUGGUGGAUGAUGAUGAUGUAUGGAUCUGAAGAUCUGGAGAGGAUUGAAGAUAAUGUGGUGAAUGAGAGAGAGGUUUUGAAGGUGUUUGGUGGUUGUGUGAGUGAGUUGCAGGAAAGAAGAAAGAUGCUGAAAUAGAAAUGUGCACCGACAAAUGGCGCGAGGGUGGGUUUGGAUUUUACUGUGUCGGUUUGGUGGUUGAUGAAGAUGAUGAUUGGAUCUUGGUUUGGUUGCACCAUUGCUUUCGCCACCAUUUUACUAAACCCAACAUGUUGGCCCAUUACCAUCUUUCCAAAACCUUUUGAGGACGACACAAAUAUAAAUGUAUUAGAGCAUUCACAU